rnacentral:rRNA from 1 species
AGUCGACGAUGAAUCUUCUAGCUUGCUAGAAGUGGAUUAGUGGCGCACGGGUGAGUAAUGCAUAGGUUAUGUGCCCUUUAGUCUGGGAUAGCCACUGGAAACGGUGAUUAAUACUGGAUACUCCCUACGGGGGAAAGUUUUUCGCUAAAGGAUCAGCCUAUGUCCUAUCAGCUUGUUGGUGAGGUAAUGGCUCACCAAGGCUAUGACGGGUAUCCGGCCUGAGAGGGUGAUCGGACACACUGGAACUGAGACACGGUCCAGACUCCUACGGGAGGCAGCAGUAGGGAAUAUUGCUCAAUGGGGGAAACCCUGAAGCAGCAACGCCGCGUGGAGGAUGAAGGUUUUAGGAUUGUAAACUCCUUUUGUUAGAGAAGAUUAUGACGGUAUCUAACGAAUAAGCACCGGCUAACUCCGUGCCAGCAGCCGCGGUAAUACGGAGGGUGCAAGCGUUACUCGGAAUCACUGGGCGUAAGGAGUGCGUAGGCGGGGUAAUAAGUCAGAUGUGAAAUCCUGUAGCUUAACUACAGAACUGCAUUUGAAACUGUUACUCUGGAGUGUGGGAGAGGUAGGUGGAAUUCUUGGUGUAGGGGUAAAAUCCGUAGAGAUCAAGAGGAAUACUCAUUGCGAAGGCGACCUGCUGGAACAUUACUGACGCUGAUGCACGAAAGCGUGGGGAGCAAACAGGAUUAGAUACCCUGGUAGUCCACGCCCUAAACGAUGGAUGCUAGUUGUUGCCUUGCUUGUCAGGGCAGUAAUGCAGCUAACGCAUUAAGCAUCCCGCCUGGGGAGUACGGUCGCAAGAUUAAAACUCAAAGGAAUAGACGGGGACCCGCACAAGCGGUGGAGCAUGUGGUUUAAUUCGAAGAUACGCGAAGAACCUUACCUAGGCUUGACAUUGAUA